UUUCCGUAGGUGAACCUGCGGAAGGAUCAUUAACGAAUAACUAUGGUGUCUUGGUUGUAGCUGGCUCCUCGGAGCAAUGUGCACGCCCGCCAUUUUUAUCUUUCCACCUGUGCACCGACUGUAGGUCUGGAUGACUCUCGUACUCCGGUGCGGCUGCGAGGAUUGCUCUCGGGCUCUCCUCGAAUUUCCAGACUCUACGUCUUUUUACACACCCCAAACGUAUGAUACAGAAUGUAGUCAAUGGGCUUGCUCGCCUAUAAAACACUAUACAACUUUCAGCAACGGAUCUCUUGGCUCUC
rnacentral:misc_RNA from 1 species